CGAACUCGGAAGCUAAGCUCCUCAGCGGCAAUGGUACUGCUCUAAUAAGAGUGGGAGAGUAGCUCGACGCAGCC
rnacentral:rRNA from 1 species